GUGACAUAGAUGGGCAGAAAAAUCACAUUACAAAAUGGCGCCAGCAACAUGCAGCAUGAAUUUCCAGGAAAAUUCAUAUGUGCAUUGUUUUCUUCAUGAUCCUGAAAGGCAAAAAAUGGAGAUUUUACUCACGUCUGGUUCUGCCUCCAUGUGGUGAAAUCCCUGGAGUCAAGAAAAACCAUCCCCACCUCUGGCUACAACCAGCUUCUUUAACAAAGAAAGUUAAUUGGGUGAUGGAGCAUGGUCCAACUCCAUAUACUCUUGAACCUCAAAGCUCACCAGGAGGAAACAUCUGUGUUUUCACAAUUGCCAGUGGUCUCCUGUGAAAGAAGAACAGUAUGAAAGAGUUAAAAAUGUCCUUUUAAAACCAGUGUGGGAAUGUCUCCAGUGCCUCUGCUCAUGUCAAAACCUAAGUUUGCCUCUUUAUACACAUUUUGUCCUAAGACUUGUAAGUUACAACAUCAUAUUCCUGUUAGAAUGAACUUUAACCUCUUGUAUCCAUAAACAUUUGUGUCGCACACACAGUAAGAUUACAAACAUUAACAAUUUCAGUAUGAACAUACUUUAGCGUGACUUACAAUGCAAUCAAAAAGAUAAUAAAAUGUUCUCAUGAUC